rnacentral:rRNA from 1 species
AUACGGAGGAUCCGAGCGUUAACCGGAUUUAUUGGGUUUAAAGGGUGCGCAGGCGGCCAUUUAAGUCAGCGGUUAAAUCGUGGGGCUCAACCCCAUUCUGCCGUUGAUACUGGGUGGCUUGAUUGCGGUCGAGGUUGGCGGAAUUCGUUGUGUAGCGGUGAAAUGCAUAGAUAUGACGAAGAACACCGAUUGCGUAGGCAGCUGACCAGAUCGCAAAUGACGCUCAUGCACGAAAGUGCGGGGAUCGAACAGGAUUAGAUACCCUGGUAGUCCGCACAGUAAACGAUGAAUACUUGUUUUCGGCGAUAUAAUGUCGGAGGCAAAGCGAAAGCGAUAAGUAUUCCACCUGGGGAGUACGCCGGCAACGGUGAAACUCAAAGGAAUUGACGGGG